rnacentral:rRNA from 1 species
GACGAACCGUGCGAACGUUGUUCGGAAUCACUGGGCUUAAAGGGCGCGUAGGCGGGCAAGCAAGUCCGGGGUGAAAUCUUUCGGCUCAACCGGAAAAGGGCCUUGGAUACUGCUUGUCUUGAGGGAGGUAGGGGCAUGUGGAACUUCCGGUGGAGCGGUGAAAUGCGUUGAUAUCGGAAGGAACGCCGGUGGCGAAAGCGACGUGCUGGCCCUCUUCUGACGCUGAGGCGCGAAAGCUAGGGGAGCGAACGGG